rnacentral:rRNA from 1 species
UCAAGCCUACGGGGGGCAGCAGUGAGGAAUAUUGGUCAAUGGCCGCAGGGCUGAACCAGCCAAGUCGCGUGAGGGAUGACGGUCCUAUGGAUUGUAAACCUCUUUUGUCAGGGAGCAAAGGGCGCCACGUGUGGCGCUUUGCGAGUACCUGAAGAAAAAGCAUCGGCUAACUCCGUGCCAGCAGCCGCGGUAAUACGGAGGAUGCGAGCGUUAUCCGGAUUUAUUGGGUUUAAAGGGAGCGUAGGUGGAUUGUUAAGUCAGUUGUGAAAGUUUGCGGCUCAACCGUAAAAUUGCAGUUGAAACUG